UGAAUUCGGUGUCUGGAUCUCUCUGAAUU
rnacentral:piRNA from 1 species